UGGGGAAUUUUGGACAAUGGGCGAAAGCCUGAUCCAGCAAUGCCGCGUGUGUGAAGAAGGCCUUCGGGUUGUAAAGCACUUUUGUCCGGAAAGAAAUCCUUGGCUCUAAUACAGUCGGGGGAUGACGGUACCGGAAGAAUAAGCACCGGCUAACUACGUGCCAGCAGCCGCGGUAAUACGUAGGGUGCAAGCGUUAAUCGGAAUUACUGGGCGUAAAGCGUGCGCAGGCGGUUUGCUAAGACCGAUGUGAAAUCCCCGGGCUCAACCUGGGAACUGCAUUGGUGACUGGCAGGCUAGAGUAUGGCAGAGGGGGGUAGAAUUCCACGUGUAGCAGUGAAAUGCGUAGAGAUGUGGAGGAAUACCGAUGGCGAAGGCAGCCCCCUGGGCCAAAUGCUGACGCUCAUGCACGAAAGCGUGGGGAGCAAAACAGGAUUAGAUACCCUGGUAGUCCACGCCCUAAACGAUGUCAACUAGUUGUUGGGGAUUCAUUUCCUAGUAACGUAGCUAACGCGUGAAGUUGACCGCCUGGGGAGUACGGUCGCAAGAUUAAAACUCAAAUGAAUUGACGGGGUCAUAGCUG
rnacentral:rRNA from 1 species